rnacentral:rRNA from 1 species
UGCUCCAGUCACAUGGAUCACAGGUUGACCUCGAAUCAGGUAGGAAUACCCGCUGAACUUAAGCAUAUCAAUAAGCGGAGGA